CAAGCAACAAGGGAGUGUUACUUCAUUGGAUCAAACUAUCCUGAAAGCCUCUAUCCUCCUACUUCCUGGUCCUGGGUUAGACCAUGGCAAUGUGUGCUAGUACUUCUGUGUGGAGCCUAACUGGGUAAACGGUGGCAAUCAUUUGCCAAUCGAUCAAUUCGAUCGAUCGAUUCUUCGCCCCCUAGCACUGUCUUCUCUAGUUAACCCUCGAGAUCUUUGCGAUCGCUUGACUGGUGGUGGAAAUGACAUCGCUCACCGAUGCCUCAGCAUCUUCCACGAGCCCUGCUUGAUCUGUGAAUGCAUGUUUAUGUCUCACAGAGAGCAACCAUGUUGGGGAAAAUGGCAGCAGUGCCUUCUGUUAGCUUGUCCAAUGCUUCCAGCGCGUUGCAAAGCGUGGCUAAGCAGGGGCUUCUGAAAAUAUGACCUGGAACUAAAGCCUCCUGCUCUUGGGAGCUCAGAUACUUGCGGUUCCAGGAUAAAGACAAACUGUCUUCCUACGUGGCAGGACUAGAGAACUCAGCUGAACUGCAGAAUCGAGGGUCAGGAAGAGACCCCUAACUGCUCUGGUCUCGAGUCAUUCUUAAAUGAUAUCUCUUCCAUUCUGGCCCCACAUCCAGAUUCUCUCUGCAGAGCCACAAAACUGGAUCAUGGCACCCCAAGUGAGAAAAUAACAUUUCCAGACAGUGGGAGAUAAGCAGAGGAACAUCCCAGGCAUGGGGUGUGCACGUUGAUAUCACUGAGUUAUGAACUAUUUCCUUUUAAUCCAGUUUCAAAAGAUGACUUCCUCCAUAUGUGAUUAAUUCCGCAUAUAACUACAAGGAACUGCAUAUUUUAGAACCAGAGUGUCAUCAGUACGAAUGUUUAAACAAUCUCUGUGGUCUCUUUCCCACAAACUGAUUUAACAUGUAUAUAAAAAGGCUUUUGGAAUGAGCACUUUACAUUUGCUUCUCAAACUUCAGCGUCUGUUUUCAGUAAAUAUUGAAGAUGAAACUCCCCUCAUUCAUGCCUGGAGCGCUGGCCAAUUGCAACUGAGGAAUGCACAUUCAGGACCUCUCAUGAAUGUGGUUCUCUUCUUGUGAACCUCGCCGUUCUUUCUCCAACCAAAUUAACAAGACCACAGCAAGACCAAAGGCUUCAUGGUCAAGAGGCUGAUCUAGUCAUGGGUUCUCCUAACAAAUGUGAGAAUAGUGCUGGAGUAGCCUGGAGUUCAAAUCCUCCCCCCCCCCCCAGCAUUUACAUCUGUGACCAUGAGCCCCAACCUGCAGUGGCCCCAGUUCACAUUUUACUGCUCUGGUGUACUGUGAGCAGAAUCUCUUUUCAGUUUAAGGUGUCGCAGAUUGAGCUGAGACAUAUAAAGAUUGCCUACUAUCACAUCCAA